GACGAACGCUGGCGGCGUGCUUAACACAUGCAAGUCGAACGAUGAACCACCUCGGUGGGGAUUAGUGGCGAACGGGUGAGUAACACGUGGGCAAUCUGCCCUGCACUUCGGGACAAGCCCUGGAAACGGGGUCUAAUACCGGAUACCCGCCGCCGCCCGCAUGGGCGGCGGCGGAAAGCUCCGGCGGUGCAGGAUGAGCCCGCGGCCUAUCAGCUCGUUGGUGAGGUAACGGCUCACCAAGGCGACGACGGGUAGCCGGCCUGAGAGGGCGACCGGCCACACUGGGACUGAGACACGGCCCAGACUCCUACGGGAGGCAGCAGUGGGGAAUAUUGCACAAUGGGCGCAAGCCUGAUGCAGCGACGCCGCGUGAGGGACGACGGCCUUCGGGUUGUAAACCUCUUUCAGCAGGGAAGAAGCGCAAGUGACGGUACCUGCAGAAGAAGCGCCGGCUAACUACGUGCCAGCAG
rnacentral:rRNA from 1 species